UUGCCAGACUCCUACGGGAGGCAGCAGUGGGGAAUAUUGGGCAAUGGGCGCAAACCUGACCCAGCAACGCCGCGUGAAGGAAGAAGGCUUUCGGGUUGUAAACUUCUUUUAAGAGGGAAGAGCAGAAGACGGUACCUCUUGAAUAAGCCACGGCUAACUACGUGCCAGCAGCCGCGGUAAUACGUAGGUGGCAAGCGUUGUCCGGAUUUACUGGGUGUAAAGGGCGUGUAGCCGGGCUGACAAGUCAGAUGUGAAAUUCCGGGGCUCAACCCCGGACCUGCAUUUGAAACUGUUGGUCUUGAGUAUCGGAGAGGCAGGCGGAAUUCCUAGUGUAGCGGUGAAAUGCGUAGAUAUUAGGAGGAACACCGGCGGCGAAGGCGGCCUGCUGGACCGUAACUGACGUUGAGGCUCGAAAGCGUGGGGAGCAAACAGGAUUAGAUACCCUUGUAAU
rnacentral:rRNA from 1 species